GACGAACGCUGGCGGCGUGCUUAACACAUGCAAGUCGAACGGAAAGGCCCUGCUUUUGUGGGGUGCUCGAGUGGCGAACGGGUGAGUAACACGUGAGUAACCUGCCCUUGACUUUGGGAUAACUUCAGGAAACUGGGGCUAAUACCGGAUAGGAGCUCCUGCUGCAUGGUGGGGGUUGGAAAGUUUCGGCGGUUGGGGAUGGACUCGCGGCUUAUCAGCUUGUUGGUGGGGUAGUGGCUUACCAAGGCUUUGACGGGUAGCCGGCCUGAGAGGGUGACCGGCCACAUGGGGACUGAGAUACGGCCCAGACUCCUACGGGAGGCAGCAGUGGGGAAUAUUGCACAAUGGGCGGAAGCCUGAUGCAGCAACGCCGCGUGCGGGAGGACGGCCUUCGGGUUGUAAACCGCUUUCGCCUGUGACGAAGCGUGAGUGACGGUAAUGGGGAAAGAAGCACCGGCUAACUACGG
rnacentral:rRNA from 1 species